rnacentral:rRNA from 1 species
CCUACGGGAGGCAGCAGUGGGGAAUCUUGCGCAAUGGGCGAAAGCCUGACGCAGCCAUGCCGCGUGAAUGAUGAAGGUCUUAGGAUUGUAAAAAUUCUUUCACCGGGGACGAUAAUGACGGUACCCGGAGAAGAACGCCCCGGCUAACUUCGUGCCAGCAGCCGCGGUAAUACGAAGGGGGCUAGCGUUGCUCGGAAUUACUGGGCGUAAAGGGAGCGUAGGCGGAUAGUUUAGUCAGAGGUGAAAGCCCAGGGCUCAACCUUGGAAUUGCCUUUGAUACUGGCUAUCUUGAGUAUGGGAGAGGUUAGCGGAACUCCGAGUGUAGAGGUGAAAUUCGUAGAUAUUCGGAAGAACACCAGUGGCGAAGGCGGCUAACUGGCCCAUUACUGACGCUGAGGCUCGAAAGCGUGGGGAGCAAACAGGAUUAGAUACCCUGGUAGUCCACGCCGUAAACGAUGAGUGCUAGUUGUCGGCAUGCAUGCAUGUCGGUGACGCACGACUACGACAUAAGUACACCUCCGCCGUCGGGAGGUACGGUCGCGAAGAAUUAAAACUUAAAUAGUAGUAGACGCGUGAGAGUCGCGACGACGACGACGAGGGAGGAGG